ensembl:lncRNA
AAAAAAAAAAAAAGAAGAAGAAGAAGAAGCGGCACAGUCACAGCAAGCCCUGUGGUGGGAUGGAGACGCCGCAGGCCGUGGAGAAGGUGGGUCUCUGCAGGUGCGCAGGAGCUCAGGAAUGAGAGCGCAGGGGUGGGAGCAGCAGUGGGCACGUGGCCCUGCAGGGGGAGGCUUGGGGGACUAGGCCGGGAAUCCAGAUUGUACAGGCUUCACAGGCCAGAGGAAGGGCUUGGACACAGUCCAAGGUGCCGGGCAGCCACAGAAGGUUCUAGAAUAGUGAGUGCUGAGGCCCGACUGGGGCUGCAGAGAUCCCUGUAGCAGCAGAGGCGAGGCUGGUGGGAGGGCGCUCCUCUCACAUCAGGAGGCAGGUGCACAGAGGGCAGGGAGCGCUGGGCAAGGUGAGGGAACCCCCAGGGAGCCAUCCUGGGCACCCCCUUCCCCAUCCGACCAUCACCGCCCGCAGCAGCUGGCGCCGGAGGGAGGACGAUGCGGCUCUCAGUGACUCACUGAAGGCCAGUCCCUCAGCCGCCCAGCCCUGCCCUCGGGCCAGCCCAGCCCUUGUGCCCCUGGGAGAGGAGUGUGCAGGGCUGGGCUGUGCCUGGAGCCCCUUCGCCCUCCUCCCAGACAAGCAGCUCCCUCCAAAACCAACCGCAGUGGUUUCACUCUUUCCUUUCUGGCCUCCCCAAACCUCAGUCCGCUCAGGGGUGGGCGUGGCCUGCCCAGCCCCAGGCCUUCCCCUGGGAGUCCCCUCACUGCCCAAGGGGGAAAGGGGGCUUUUCAGGCAGGGUCUGGCCACCGAAGCUGAGAUGCAGAGGGGGACCAGGCCUCAGGGCUGGGGGAACUGCUCCUGCAUCCUUCCCCCAACCUAGAAAAUGCGUCCAGUACCGCAAGUGUUAGCCACCAAACGGAGGGACCACCGUGCCCCUGUCUGGUGGGCCCAGGCUGGCAGGAGGCGGCACUGUGUGGCACCUGGGUCCCCAGAGAGGCCCUCCUGGGCACCCCUAGGACAUCCUGAUGCGUCCCUUUGGGCUUGCCUCAGUCUCCCCUUCUGUAAACUGGAGAGGAGAAAUCGUGAUGUCUUUUUUUUUUUUUUUAAGAUUUAUUUUAUUUAUUUGAAAGACAGAGUUACAGAGAGAGGUAGAGACAGAGAGAGAGAGGUCUUCCAUCCACUAUUUCACUCCCCAAAUGACCGCAACGGCUCUGAAGCCAGGAGCCAGGUGUUUCCUCCUGGUCUCCCACGCAGGUGCAGGGGCCUAAGGACUUGGACCAUCUUCCACUACCUUCCCAGGCCACAGCAGAGAGCUGGAUUGGAAGUGGAGCAGCCAGGACUCGAACCGGUGCCCAUACGGGAUGCCGGUGCUGCAGGUGGCGGUUACACUGCAAUGUUGGCCCCAAUUCGGAAAUUUCAAGAGUCAUUACAAAAUGAGAAUGCCUGGUGCAUCCGAGAUUGGAAGGGAAAGGUGGGGCAGAAGUGCCUGAAGAUUUCAGCAAGCGGCAGGAAGUGUGAGGAAGGCACCGAGGCUUUGAGAGGAACAGAUCUCGCAAGAAAAGUUCAUGUGUGAUAAGAUCGCCUGCAAUUUUGAAAAUAUUGUUUAUGGCAUUUUCCAGAAAGUAAGCAUUAAUACCAAAGAUACCAUCCUCUGUUAACAAAUAAGCUUUAUAUAUAAUAUAUAUAGAUAUGUCAGUAAAUAUCUGAAAACAGUCUGUUUUUUUUUUUUAAGAUUUAUUUGAAAGUCAGAGUUGCACAGAGAAAGGAGAGGGAGAGAGAGGGAGAGAGAGAGAGAGAGAGAGGUCUUCCAUCCACUGGUUCACUCCAUAAAUGGCCGCAACAGUGUGAGCUGCUCCAAUCCGAAGCCAGGAGCCAGGAGCUUCUUCCAGGUCUCUCAUGUGGGUGCAGGGGCCCAAGGACUUGGGCCAUCAUGUACUACUGUCCCAGGCCAUAGCAGAGAGCUGGAUCAGAAGUGGAGCAGCCGAGACUUGAACCAGCGCCCAUAUUGGGUGCCAGCUCUGCAGGUGGAGGCUUAGCUCACCAAGUCACAGCACUGGCCCCUGAAUAGUCUUAAUCUUUACUUUUACAAUCUGAUUUUAAAACUACAGUGUCUCCUCCUUGUAACAUUUUCUGGUUUGGUUUGGUUGUUAAAGAUUUAUUUAUUUGAAAGAGUUACACAGAGCAGAACAGACAGAGACACAGAUCUUCCAUCCCCUGGCUCAGUGGCUGGGCCAGGCUGAAGCCAGGAGCCAGGAGCUCCAUCCAGGUCUCCCACGUGGGUGCAGGGACCCAGGGACCUGAGCCAUCCACUGCUGCUUUCCCUGGCGGUUAACAGGGAGCUGGAUCGGAAGUGGGGCAGCCAGACUCCAGCCAUAUGUACAUGGGACGCCCACGUUACAGGCAGCGGCUUUACCCGCCAUGGCACAGUCCUGGCUCAGUUGUUUCUGUUUAAUCUGUGACUGUCAAUUUCUAGCCAGCUGAGGCCUAGUGGGUAAAGCUGCCGCCUGCAGUGCCAGCAUCCAAUAUCGGCGCUAGUUCAAGUCCCGGCUGCUCCACUUCCGAUCCAGCUCUCUGCUAUGGCCUGGGAAAGCAGUAGAAGAUGGCCCACGUGCUUGAGCCCCUGCACCUGCGUGGGAGACCUGGAGGAAGCUCCUGGCUUCGGAUUGGCGCAGCUCCAGCCAUUGCAGCCAUCUAGGGAGUGAACCAGUGGAUGGAAGACCUCUCUCUCUCUCUCUCUCUCUCUGCCUCUUUGUAACUCUGCCUUUCAAAUAAAUAAGUAAAUAUUUAAAAAAAAUAAGAAAGU